rnacentral:lncRNA from 1 species
GAAGGUUAGAUGCACCGUUAAACAUUAUAUACUAAAGUUUCUUUUAUGUUCAGAACUUGAUUACUAACGCAACUCCUAUUUCCAGGUCUGGAAUGUGCCAGCCACUUUAUGAAUCAACAAACAUUAUAGCGCACAAAAUAACUAUUGCAGUGAGUAUCACACUUUAAUAUCCUAUGUAGUUGAGGCUUUAUAAAGAUCAUUUGAAGAUUUAUCUAUUUAGUAAAGAUCAAAGUAAGGCUAGAUCUUCUACUCAUUUUGCACUUAUAUAUGUUGCCCAUUUUUUAUUAUAUUUUACAACCGUAGAUGCACUAUGAAAAUUUUAACAUUUGGCCUUUUUAGUUCUUUUUCCAUGCUGCCAAAACGUAUGGUGACUAUUCUUUUUUAUUUUCUUACAAAAGGCACUGCAAUAUAUUAGACAAUUUACUUUUUACUCCUACUCAAAGGUUAGUUAAGUACUUCAGUGAUUCAAUGUUUGUUCCUCGUGUGUUCCCUGUCUUGCCUGUACCAUAGAAGAGAUGAUGACCCAUCUACUAUUUAUUUUUGGUACCCUGUUUUCACACCUGAACUGGUUUGGAAGUAUCAUGCCUCUUCUCAUGCAUUUAUUUGUGUAUUUUCCCAUUCAAAGUGAUUAUUCACUAUUGAAGAACCAGUUCUCUACUGUCGUGCACUGUUGAGUCACCUUUUCAAGUAUGAUUUUAGACAUGUUAACUAUUAAUGUGAAAUUUCAUGUUUAUUUUAUUGAGCAACAGCUUUUGUUCUCAAAUAAUUAUAAAGAAAUUAUUUGAAGAAUAAUAACAUGAGAAAAAGUUAAAAAAUACAUGUUUCAUUUACCAAGGUAAUUUCGGUUGUUUCUCUUUAAUACUUAAUACUUAUUUUCUUCCUGUUCAACUUUACCGCAUGCCAUAUACACAAGAAGUCAUUUGCCAAAAAAGAAUCAUCCAAACCUACUUUGGCACACAAGCACGUCUUCAACAUGUUAUAUUGAUAAAUAAGCACUUCCAGACUAUAAUGUUAGCUAUGGGACAGCUUUGUUGAACGAGAAGGUGUUGCUAUAGUUGAAAACCUCACAGCCAAACUUGUGCUAUGGGCCACUGAUCUUAACGUUUCGUCCUUUAACGGUACCUUCAACAUACAUAUAGCAUUUACUUGCAUAUGAUAUUACAUUUACAAAAAAACAUGACCGACUUCAGCUUCAUUUCCUUUUAGGCCUUCCACUUUUCACUAAGGUCAGUAUUACUAUUUUCAUCAAUGCUGGAAUAGUUGCAGUAGCAGAUUACAGAGAAUGGUUUCAACAACUCACUCCUAAUUCUAAACUCUUUCAACCAACAUAAAAAUGUUUGACGAAUAUUUAUAUUCCCUACCUAAUUAUGUCCUUCAUUUCCUACAGGGUGAAAGCAAUUGAAAAACAACUUGAGAAACUAAUAGAGAAUAAACCAUUUGUUGCAGUCACACUGUCACUGCCAAAAGUUUCGCCUCCAGCUCAAAACAAGUUCAUAUCAAAUGCCGAUUUGCUAGGAGUCUGCCCGGGGUUAUCUUCUAAAUAUAUCUUCCAAUGUAUACGGCGUAGAUAGAAUCUCUAUCAUAUUUCAGCAUUAUGAAAACACCCUAACAAUUUCUCACAUACUAAUUUUAUCAUCCAAAUACACAUACAUGUCUUGGUACAGAAAAAAUUUUAUUGCGUAAAAGCCCAUCGGAGAAUUGAUUCGAAUAACAAGAGAUUUUUGUACAUGUCAUGCAGCAAUUGCAAAAAGACAUCCAAUGCAGACUUGAGAUAGGUCACAAAUGCCGC